rnacentral:rRNA from 1 species
UAAGGAAUAUUGCGCAAUGGGGGAAACCCUGACGCAGCAACGCCGCGUGGAGGAUGACCCUUUUCGGAGCGUAAACUCCUUUUAUCAGGAAAGAAUAAUGACGGUACCUGAUGAAUAAGCACCGGCUAACUCCGUGCCAGCAGCCGCGGUAAUACGGGGGGCGCAAGCGUUACUCGGAAUCACUGGGCGUAAAGGACGCGUAGGCGGAUUAUCAAGUCUUUUGUGAAAUCUAGUGGCUUAACCACUAAACUGCUUAGGAAACUGAUAGGCUAGAGUAGGGGAGAGGUAGAUGGAAUUCUUGGUGUAGGGGUAAAAUCCGUAGAGAUCAAGAAGAAUACCCAUUGCGAAAGCGAUCUGCUGGAACCUAACUGACGCUGAGGCGUGAAAGCGUGGGUAGCAAACAGG